AAAGAAUUCAAGAUGGCAGCCCCAAUAUGACAUCAAAGCCCAGAAGAGCAAAGAGAGGCCUUUGGGAAUAAACUUCAGGAUUCUCGCCCAGCUCUAUCUAAAAGAAAAGAGUUGUGUAGCAAUGAUACCCUCUUUGUACUUGGACCUGAUGGAGCUGAAAGUUUAUAGGAGCUGAGCUAGACUGAGCUCUCCACUCCCAGAUAGCAAAAUGGUACUGAUUUUAGGAACAUGCACAGAGUUCUUGACUGAUCCUAUCCCUAUGUGGAUCUUGGAAGAAGCUGAGGGAUCCAUCCUAUAUAUCUAUGUGAUGAGGACACAGAAUAUGAACUGGUUAUACAGCUGGAUCUGGGGAUUAUUCAAAAGGUCCUGGCCAUAGACAAUCAAUGCAUAUCCAAUCUCUACUCCUUAAAAACCAUCCAAAGUUCUUAUUUCCAGGGACAGUGAGUCAGCAGCAUCUUUGUAUACUAUGAAAGAAGCUAUUGUUCUACAAGUCUACUUCUCCAAUCCCCUGAUAUUUCACCUGAGCCAGUGAAUCAUACAGAUCCAACUUCACAGGACCGCUCUUUGGCUUAGUGCUGAAAAGUUAGUUCUUGUCUGAAAGCAUUACGGAAAAGAAGAGAAAGAGAAAGAUGCUCAUAGCUAUGAGGAAAUAGAUAUAUGGCCACAAGACAUCAAGGAAGCUUAUACAGGGGAUAUACAACUGGAGGAUGACUGUAUUUUUCUUUUAAGAUAACCUGACAAAGUAUUGGAAUUCAAAGUGCAUUUGAUGUUUAAAAGGAAAUGUUACCAGAUAAUGUAAGUUAUCUGCACCAGCCAAAGGAUAGGAACACUACAGAGAUGAAGGGACAUCACCCUCCCUCCACAGCUGAACAUUUAGAGUGUCU